CACCGGCUGGCGGGUGCCGGACACGCCCUUCGAAGGCGUACGGCUCUCCCAGCUGCUGGACGCCGCCGGGGUACGGUCCUCGGCCGGGGCC
rnacentral:tRNA from 1 species